ensembl:lncRNA
AAAAAUACAUUUUUGGAGUGAAAAAGAAGUUAGUUUCCCAAUUAACUUCUUAUUUAAAAAACAGUUUUAUCCAGUUGUAUUGAUUAUAAUUUGAAGCUACAUAAUAUCAGUUUGUUGAGACUAUUAAGAGGUUUGUUUUACGUCGUCACAAACGGCACUUUUGUUUGACAUUGGUGGACCCGUUUAGAAAAGCGUUUAGACUGGUUGGUAUGGGAGCAAAUUCUUCACUGAAAGACACUAACUAACGUUCCUCGGUCACAUAAGUAGGGGAGUUUCCUCCUCCUAAAGAUCCGAGGCACAGCCUAGGCGUUUUUCACGACUGCCGGCUUUUCUCUCUCUCCCUUCCUCCCUUUCGCUCUCCCCCUGCUUUUUUUCUGAAUGGGUGUCCUCUCUCUAACCUCUCAAUUCACAGCAGCAUUGAAACAAGACACUACCCUGAACACUGAUAGGCUGCGGGCAAAUCGCUCAGCCCCUCAACCCAACACUAUAAGUACUCUGGCAGUCCGUCUCCAGUGUAUGACUGACUGUUUAGAGGGUGAGAGAGAGAGAGAGAGAGAGAGAGAGAGAGAGAGGGAGGGGGCGGUAGAGAGUUUAAAUUCAGUGACAGUGAUAACAAUGAUAUUAUUCGUUCUCCGCUGAAACAGGGAAGCACUUUCAGAGUCUACGGCACGCUUCCUCUGUCUCUAUCACUUUAAGAGUGUUACUGAUUAGUCGCUAAAGAAUGCGAGUGGAAAAAGAGAGAGAGAAAAGGGACAGAGACAGAAGGGAGAGACAGACUGAGAGCGUUCGAGCUUGGAACUCGUAUGGAGAAGACUGAUAAUACUGAACUGAGUAGAGUUUUGUUUUAUUUUCCAGCAGUUCGGAGACGUUAAUGGAGCUCUCACUCUCUCUCUCUCUGUGUGUGUGUGUGUGUGUGUGUGUUUGCGGCUCUUGAAGACGGAGGGGGAAGUCGGGGACCCCGCACAUGCAGGCAGCGCUCAACCAUCAGGAAAUACUCUUUUCACCCAGACAGAGGUUAUUCAGACAGGCUCAAUCUUUUCAGAUCGUGUGAUGCUCCAUGUCUUCAUUCCAAUUUAGGUGAGCACAUGCUUAUAUUUAAUUUAUAUAUCAUUUAAUAUUGCAGCUAAUUUCCUGCCUCACUGCAUUUGACAACUUAGACUGUCAGCUUCCACAUCAGUGUCUGCUGCAAAGCUAUUACACUUUAACUUGCCAUCACAUUUAAUCUGAAAUGUGCAGAAAUGUCUGCUGCAGCACUUUGAAAAGAACCUUCGCUCAGAACUAGUAUCUACAAUACAAGCCGUGUCUUAUGUGCUGACUAGCAGGGCCCUGGGCUGUGCAGGGACUGUGGAAGGUUAUGAAUGGAAUGUGCCAGAAUUCUUAUAAUGUUUACAGGUCAUUCAUGUGAAGUCCUGGGCUGGGGCUUCUCCUUAGGGGCAGACAAUAGUGUUGCAGCAGGAAGCACAUACCUCCCUCGAGAGCCUCACGGCACACUCCCCCACCCUGUUAUAGCGCCACACACAAAAAUUAAAAAACGGAGCAAAUUAGGAAGGCUCAAUGGGCCGGUAGAUGUGUGUAUAUUUGUAACUUCGUCACAUGAAUUGUUUAGUUUACUUAAAGCAUGGCUUUUGUGAUUCACAUCUUUACAAAGCGUCCGUUCGUGCAUUUAAUUUUCAGAGCCUGUUGUUGGUGCUGCCAGAAAAAAAUACAAUAGGAAUGUAAAUGGAACAGAAUGAAACAAUAUAGCUGUCAACAUCAGCUGUCACUCUGGAAAUGAAACAGCAAAUUUUGACAGAAUUUUUAAACCCUAGAAUCCAAAGCAUUUUACGGCCAACAUGUCAGACAGUCAGUUUUUCACUUAAACCGCAUAAUUAUAACUCUAGCAUAGCAUAAACUAAAAGCCCACGUUUACAAGACACAACAACACAGAGAUCCAUUUUACAAGCACCAUUCUAUUAAGGCCACUCUCACAUGAC